rnacentral:rRNA from 1 species
AUUGAACGCUGGCGGCAUGCUUUACACAUGCAAGUCGAACGGCAGCACGGGCUUCGGCCUGGUGGCGAGUGGCGAACGGGUGAGUAAUAUAUCGGAACGUACCCAGCUGUGGGGGAUAACGUAGCGAAAGAUACGCUAAUACCGCAUACGAUCUAUGGAUGAAAGCAGGGGACCGCAAGGCCUUGUGCUCCUGGAGCGGCCGAUAUCUGAUUAGCUAGUUGGUGAGGUAAAGGCUCACCAAGGCGACGAUCAGUAGCUGGUCUGAGAGGACGACCAGCCACACUGGAACUGAGACACGGUCCAGACUCCUACGGGAGGCAGCAGUGGGGAAUUUUGGACAAUGGGCGCAAGCCUGAUCCAGCAAUGCCGCGUGAGUGAAGAAGGCCUUCGGGUUGUAAAGCUCUUUUGUCAGGGAAGAAACGGUAGAGGCUAAUAUCCUUUGCUAAUGACGGUACCUGAAGAAUAAGCACCGGCUAACUACGUG